GACGAACGCUGGCGGCGUGCUUAACACAUGCAAGUCGAAGAUAGUGUCGAACGGGUGAGUAAUACGUAGUAACCUGCCCUCCUUUUUGGGCUAAGCCUUGGAAACGGUGUCUAAUACCGAAUAACGGUGGAUGGGCUCUCGGCCUAUCAGCUUGUUGGUGGGGUGAUGGCCUACCACGGCGGUGACGGGUAGCCGGCCUGAGAGGAUGAUCAGUCCUAGUGGAACUGAGAAACGGUCCAGACUCCUACGGGAGGCAGCAGUGGGGAAUGUUGGACAAUGGGCGAAAGCCUGAUCCAGCCAUGCCGCGUGUGUGAAGAAGGUCUUCGGAUUGUAAAGCACUUUAAGUUGGGAGGCGUUAGCAACAGAAUAAGCACCGGCUAACGUCGUGCCAGCAGCCGCGGUAAUAC
rnacentral:rRNA from 1 species